GCGGAUGUGGCGGAACUGGCAGACGCGCCAGACUUAGGAUCUGGUGCCGAAAGGCUUGGGGGUUCGAGUCCCCCCACCCGCA
rnacentral:tRNA from 1 species